AUAUUGGGCGUAAGCGCGCGCAGGCGGUUUCUUAGUCUGAUGUGAAAGCCCCCCUUUCAACCGGGGACGGUCAUUGGAACUGGGGAACUUGAGUGCAGAAGAGGAGAGUGGAUUCCAUGUGUAGCGGUGAGAUGCGUAGAGAUGUGGAGGACACCAGUGGCGAAGGCGGCUCUCUGGUCUGAAACUGACGCUGAGGUGCGAAAGCGUGGGGAAGCAGACA
rnacentral:rRNA from 1 species